rnacentral:lncRNA from 1 species
CUGUAGGUUCUAUGUGCCGGUAAGGAUCUGGCGACAGAGCAGACUGGUAGUAGGAUGAUUACUCUGUUGAGGCAGCUUCAGCAAACACUACCACCAGCCACCCUGGCUUCAAUAUGGUCAUCCUUGCAGCCUCAACAGCAGGUAGCACUGCAAUCAAUGCUAUCGUCGUAAUGCUGUGGAAGCUAACAAGCUUUUCUCCAAUACGAUGA